UAACGCGUAGGUAACCUGCCUUGUAGCGGGGGAUAACUAUUGGAAACGAUAGCUAAUACCGCAUAACAAUGGAUGACACAUGUCAUUUAUUUGAAAGGGGCAAUUGCUCCACUACAAGAUGGACCUGCGUUGUAUUAGCUAGUAGGUGAGGUAACGGCUCACCUAGGCGACGAUACAUAGCCGACCUGAGAGGGUGAUCGGCCACACUGGGACUGAGACACGGCCCAGACUCCUACGGGAGGCAGCAGUAGGGAAUCUUCGGCAAUGGGGGCAACCCUGACCGAGCAACGCCGCGUGAGUGAAGAAGGUUUUCGGAUCGUAAAGCUCUGUUGUAAGUCAAGAACGAGUGUGAGAGUGGAAAGUUCACACUGUGACGGUAGCUUACCAGAAAGGGACGGCUAACUACGUGCCAGCAGCCGCGGUAAUACGUAGGUCCCGAGCGUUGUCCGGAUUUAUUGGGCGUAAAGCGAGCGCAGGCGGUUUGAUAAGUCUGAAGUUAAAGGCUGUGGCUCAACCAUAGUUUGCUUUGGAAACUGUCAAACUUGAGUGCAGAAGGGGAGAGUGGAAUUCCACGUGUAGCGGUGAAAUGCGUAGAUAUAUGGAGGAACACCGGUGGCGAAAGCGGCUCUCUGGUCUGUAACUGACGCUGAGGCUCGAAAGCGUGGGGAGCGAACAGGAUUAGAUACCCUGGUAGUCCACGCCGUAAACGAUGAGUGCUAGGUG
rnacentral:rRNA from 1 species